UUUUUUUUUUUUUAAUUUUUAUUAUUUUCAAGAUUUACAACAAAUACAACACAUCAAACAUACAUACAGUAAUAUUAGCGAUAGAUUUGAAUAUAUAUUUAUUUAUGACAAUAAACAUUGUUGUAAAUUAAUUUUUCUAUUUAUAUGAAAAAAAAAGAAGCAAGAAAAUACAGAAGAAAAUAUAAUUAGAGUUAAAUGUUUAUGUACCACUGUGUGGCACUUGAGAAUUUUAAAGAAUUUUAUAAAAAAAAAAAAAGAAAAAAAAGGAAGAGGUUAAAAAAUAUCCCGUAAGAUUUUCAGUACAUAAUAAAUUGUGCUAUUAGAUACAAUAAUAUUUUAUGUUAGUUUUGACAAUAAAUAUAGAUUGUAAAAACAAAUGACAAAUUGAAUUAUAAAAAUAAUACUUUAAAUGCAUUCCACAUGGUAUCAAAGUGUUUUUGUCUCUUAUUUUUGACUGCCAUUAUUUUUUCUAAAUUGUACAUAUAUUUUAACUUUUCUUUAAUGGCACUGACUGAAAGAUCUUUUGAAAAACAUCUACUGUUGUAUAUAUAUUGUUUCAUGUAUAGAAAAAUCAAAUUAUAUGGGUCACCUUUUCGAACUUUUGAUAUAUCUCCAAAAAUAAAAUUCAACUUAUUCAAUGGCAGGCUUACCCCACCAGAUAAGAACCAAUAAUCUACAUCUUGUAAAAAAUUUUGGAUAAUCUCACAAUUCCACAGAAUAUGUUCAACAGUUUCAUCUUCUAAUUUACAAAAAGUACAUAGAGGGUUAUCGAUAAGUUUGAUUUUACAUAAAAAUUUAUUUGUGGCAAGAAUUCUAUGGUUGAUUCUGUACUGAAGCCACUGUAGUUUUGUAUUGACAGUGACUGUAAAAGGUAGUUUGAAUAUAUGUUUCCAAAUGAGAUCUUCACCUAAUAUUUCACUCCACUUCAGUUGUCCUGUUGGAGUCACCUUGUUACUUAUGAGUAUUUUGUACAUAUCUUUAGUACCUUUUCUACUUUUAAAAAA
rnacentral:lncRNA from 1 species